rnacentral:rRNA from 1 species
CAACACAUUAACACUUAAAAAUUAAACAAACCAUUUGACCACUUUAGUACGGGAGACGGAAAAAGAUAUUGAAGGCGCGAUAGAGCAAGUACCGCGAGGGAAUGCUGAAAGAGAACUGAAAUAGAUCAGUAAAGUACCAAGAAGCAGAGCUCAAACCUCGUACCUUUUGCAUCAUGAUUUAGCCAGUGAAAACCAAGCAAAAAGCAUUUUAGUUUGGUUACCCGAAACUAAGUGAGCUACUCCAGGGCAGCCUAGUUUAUAGGGCGAACCCGUCUCUGUGGCAAAAGAGUGGGAAGACCCUCGAGUAGGGGUGAUAGACCUAUCGAACUUAGUUAUAGCUGGUUGCCCAAGAAAUGAAUAGAAGUUCAGCCUCCCAGCUUCUUUAUUCCCCCGUUACUUUUAAACCUUACGAUAAUAAGAACACUGAGAGAGUUAGUCAAAGAAGGCACAGCUUCUUUGACAUAAGACACAACUUUUCCAGGAGGGUAAAGAUCAUAUUUACGUAGGACAUUUCACAACCCUGUGGGCUUAAAAGCAGCCAUCUGAUGAAAGAAAGCGUCUGAGCUUAGAAUCUAUACUAGAACCCUUAAUAACGAUUAAUUAAUCUUAACCCCCUAAAACUAUUGGGCUCUUCCAUGCAAACAUGGAAGGAACCAUGCUAAAAUGAGUAAUAAGAGAGUUAACGCCUCUCUCCCUGCACAAGUGUAAAUCAGAACGGACAAUCCGCUGAACAUUAACGGCCUCACCAACAGAGAGUACUAAGUAGUUUAAUAGAGACCGAGAAAAUCACUUUACUUAUUACCGUUGCCCCCACACAGGAGUGCACCCAGGGAAAGACUAAAAGAAAAAGAAGGAACUCGGCAAACGCAUCAAGCCUCGCCUGUUUACCAAAAACAUCGCCUCUUGUAGCCCAAGACAUAAGAGGUCGUGCCUGCCCUGUGAGUUAGUUUAACGGCUGCGGUAUCAUGACCGUGCAAAGGUAGCGCAAUCACUUGUCUCUUAAAUGGAGACCCGUAUGAAUGGUGUGACGAGGGCUUAACUGUCUCCUUUUUCAGGUCAAUGAACUUGAUCUUCCCGUGCAGAAGCGGGAAUUUAUACAUAAGACGAGAAGACCCUAUGGAGCUUUAGACAUAGAGGUAGUUCAUGGACACUAUACCUUUUAAAGAAUUAAACAAGCCGUGUUACCUGCCUCUCAUCUUUGGUUGGGGCGACCGCGAAGAAAAAUUUAUCCCUCGCGACGGACUGGGAGGAUUCUCCUAAAACCAAGAGCGGCAGCUCUAAGCAACAAAACUUUUGACUCUACAGAACCGGUUCAUAAACCGAUCAACGGACCGAGUUACCCUAGGGAUAACAGCGCAAUCCUCUUCUAGAGACCUUAUCGACGAGAGGGUUUACGACCUCGAUGUUGGAUCAGGACAUCCUGAUGGCGCAGCCGUUAUCAAGGGUUCGUUUGUUCAACG